rnacentral:rRNA from 1 species
AGAGUUUGAUCCUGGCUCAGGAUAAAACGCUGGCGGCGCACAUAAGACAUGCAAGUCGAACGGACUUAACCAUUAGUUUACUAUUGGAGCGGUUAGUGGCGGACUGGUGAGUAACACGUAAGCAACCUGCCUAUCAGAGGGGAACAACAGUUAGAAAUGACUGCUAAUACCGCAUAUGCCUUAGUAACACAUGUUACAAAAGGGAAAGAAGCAAUUCGCUGAUAGAUGGGCUUGCGUCUGAUUAGAUAGUUGGUGGGGUAACGGCCUACCAAGUCGACGAUCAGUAGCCGGACUGAGAGGUUGAACGGCCACAUUGGGACUGAGAUACGGCCCAGACUCCUACGGGAGGCAGCAGUCGGGAAUAUUGCGCAAUGGAGGAAACUCUGACGCAGUGACGCCGCGUGCAGGAAGAAGGUUUUCGGAUUGUAAACUGCUUUAGACAGGGAAGAAACAAGACAGUACCUGUAGAAUAAGCUCCGGCUAACUACGUG